GACGAAGGAUGCAAGCGUUAUCCGGAUUCAUUGGGUUUAAAGGGCGCGUAGGCGGGUUCGCAAGUCUGUGGUGAAAGCCUCCAGCUUAACUGGAGAAGUGCCGUGGAUACUGCGAAUCUUGAGGAGGGUAGGGGCGUCUGGAACGGUCGGUGGAGCGGUGAAAUGCGUUGAUAUCGACCGGAACUCCGGUGGCGAAGGCGAGGCGCUGGACCCUUUCUGACGCUGAGGCGCGAAAGCCAGGGGAGCAAACGGG
rnacentral:rRNA from 1 species